GAAUUAUUACCCAAAUGAGUUGAAAUCAAGGCUUGAGCAAUUUUAUAUUGGGACGCGCUAACAUUUAAUGCUUGCAAGAUACGAUUAUCUGAUAGCAACAGCAAAAUUUUAGUGGGAGAAAGGAACAGAGCAUGUGUAAUAGGGCUUAGUAUUUAAGUUUGAUUUGGGAGAAGAAGAGUGUUAUUUGUGUAGUAAAAUUGAAGCCAUGGAUGUAGUUGAGGAAGAUGUGUUAGGUGAAGUGACGACAGCAUUCAGGAGUAGAAGAACAAGAAGUGUUGCAUGGAGGAAAGCACAGCUUCAAGCAAUUCUCAAACUCCUUGAUGAAAAUGAAGAGGAGAUCUUUGAAGCACUUAGACAGGAUCUCGGAAAGCAUCCUGUUGAAUCUUAUCGUGAUGAAGUUGGUGUGGUGAGGAAAUCAGCUACCAAUGCUUUGCGCUGUGUUGAAAAGUGGAUGGCCCCUCAAAAGGCCCCAAUACCAUUAGUUCUCUUUCCUGCAAGAGGAGCAGUAGUAUCAGAGCCACUGGGAGUAGUGCUAAUAUUUGUGUCCUGGAAUUUUCCCAUCUCCCUAGCUUUAGACCCAGUGAUUGGAGCAAUCUCAGCUGGAAACGCAAUUGUCCUUAAACCUUCUGAGCUAGCACCAAAAUGCUCCUCCGUUCUGGCCAAUACAAUACCUCGUUACUUGGAUCCAGAAGCUAUUAAAGUUGUUGAAGGUGGACAUGAUGUAUCAGAACAACUACUGCAGCUAAAAUGGGAUAAGAUAUUUUUUACAGGUAGUCCACGAGUUGGCCGCCUCAUAAUGUCAGCAGCUGCAAAGCACUUAACACCUGUAACUCUUGAGCUGGGUGGAAAAUGUCCAACCAUCUUGGACAGGCUAUCUAAUUUCUCUGAUUUACAGGUGGCUGUCAAGAGGAUAGUGGGGGGCAAGUGGGGACCAUGCAAUGGACAAGCAUGCAUUGGAAUCGAUUAUGUGCUCGUGGAAACACAAUUUGCUCCAGUUCUGAUUGAACUAUUGGAGAAAUCCAUCAAGACAUUUUAUGGUGAGAACUUGAAAACUUUGGCAAAUCUUGCCAGAAUAGUGAACAAGCACCACUUUGAUAGAGUACACAAUCUUCUGAAAGACCCAAAAGUUGCAGCAUCUGUUGUUUAUGGAGGCUCAGUAGAUGAGGAAAAUAUGGCCAUUGAACCAACAAUUUUGUUGAAUCCUCCCCUUGAUGCUGAUAUCAUGAACGAAGAAAUAUUCGGCCCUUUGCUUCCAAUCAUCACACUAAAGAAUAUCGAAGAAAGCAUUCCGUUCAUAAACUCAAGGCCAAAACCUCUUGCAAUAUAUGCAUUUACCAAGAAUGAUUCGUUGAAGGAGAAAAUCUUGCAGGAAACAUCUUCCGGAAGUCUGACUUUUAAUGAUGCUAUGAUUCAGUUUCUAUGUGACACAUUACCAUUUGGAGGCGUUGGUCAGAGUGGUUACGGACGUUACCAUGGGAAGUUCACUUUUGACACAUUCAGUCAUGAAAAAGCAGUUCUACAUAGGAGCUUCUUAGUUGAGUUGGAAUCAAGGUAUCCUCCAUGGAAUGAUUUCAAGAUGGAGUUUGUUAGAUUGGCUUACAACUAUGACUAUCUUGGGAUGAUACUGCUCUUGCUGGGGUUGAGAGGACUAUUCAGAACAAACCGAAGGCAGUAGAAGAUAAAACUCUUCUCACUUAAAUAAGGUUAAUCCGUCAUAAAAGUGUCUAGAAAACUUAAUGUCAGUGAGAGAGCAAAAACUAUUUGAGGAUUAUUAUUUAUCAAUUGAGGUAGUCUUCUUUGUUUCUA
rnacentral:misc_RNA from 1 species